rnacentral:misc_RNA from 1 species
CUAUUUGAAACAGAAGAAUCAAGUGUCCGCCGCUACAUGGGUACAAUAACUGGCAUAAGCGACUUGGAUUCUGUUAGGUGGCCUAAUUCACAUUGGCGCUCAGUCAAGGUUGGCUGGGACGAAUCCACAGCUGGAGAGAGGCAACCAAGGGUUUCCCUAUGGGAAAUUGAGCCAUUAACAACGUUCCCAAUGUAUCCUCCAUUCCCUCUAAGGCUUAAGCGCCCU